AUGAUCAUAGAUUUAUGGAUACUUAAUAUAUGUUAUAGUCUUUUUUUUUUAAUAAUGCUUUUUUUUUUAUUAUUUUCUCCACAGGAACUAGCAAGUCAGUCUGUUUUUAUUACUUGCAGCUUUUCUGUAUCGACAAGCUUUGAAAAGCAGAAAAACUGUAUCAAGUGCACAAUUAUGAUGAGCUCAGUCUUAUCCUGCCCUCUGCACCUUUGGUCAUCUCUUGAAGCAUCCAUAGGCUUUUAUACUUUGCUGAUCAUCCUUAUGAGUUUCCUGUAGGCUCCCCCCAAUUGGUCUACACCCUUCUUGAAACACAGUACACCAUUUGGAGGGUUCAGCAGCUCAUCUCUGUGAAGCGUGGUGCAAAAAUACUAUAUGGAGGCACUAACUCCGUUGUGGUAUGGAUGUGGCAGGUUAUCACCGGGCCUUUCAAAUAGUAAGAAAUGGUACAUGCAGUUAGGUUACAGGAACAGGAAAUGGGGCUGGUACACUGGGUGUUCAAGCUUACRGUGCAGCUAUGUGGGCUUUGGAUGCCAAAAAGAAUUAUGAGGCUCAGAGGGAGCUGCUGCUGUAUCUUGAUGAAUGAAAUGUAGAUGUUAAAUGACUUUGAAGUUUUCAAAGUCAGAAAUUCAAGUCAGAUGCCUGUUUCCAGAUUGCCCAUGAAAAUCAUUUUGCACUUCCCUCUCUUAUACAACUUUUUUAUUUGCAUUGUAUAUUGUCUAGCAGCUUUUAUCUCCAAAUUAACGUUAUGCUUGUAUGAUAGGAGAUGUAAUGAUCUUGUAAUAAUAGGCAUAAUCCAAGUCAUGUAAAAUGUCAGCAUUUAAAACAGAACCACGAUAAAUUAUCAAUACAGCUGUUGCUUACCAUGCCUUCCCUAUUACAGCUGAUUUAAUUGUUGAUGACUGUUCUUCAGACUUCAAGCUGUAACAUAUGAUUUUUGGUUUUGGUGGUGCUAUGAAAUUGCUGAUGGCACUGUCUUAGCCUGCUGGAUAAAGAGUAACAAAUAAUAUAUGUAUUACCUGUGUGUGUGUUAUCUGUGUGAUCAGCAGACAAACAGCUUUCUGUUCAAAUCAAAGGGGAAGAAAGUUGUGCCAGUUUGCCUAGGUUCUCUAAUACCAUACAUCUUUCUCACACUUAUUCUACUCUAUUUUCCUCCUUGAUUAGGAUCAGUUAAUGACUGGAACACAUUUGAAAACUGCCUGUCACUAUAGAAAAGAGAUUUGUUGGUUUCCUUGUGUAAUAAGUGGACUUUGAAGAAGUUACAUGCUGCUCAUCCCUAAAACAGGAAUGUCUUACUGGAAAGUAGGAGUUUCUUAUUGGAAAAUAAAAUAGAACUGAGCCCCUAUGGACA
rnacentral:lncRNA from 1 species